rnacentral:rRNA from 1 species
UACGGAGGGGGCUAGCGUUGUUCGGAAUUACUGGGCGUAAAGCGCACGUAGGCGGCUUUGUAAGUUAGAGGUGAAAGCCCGGGGCUCAACUCCGGAAUUGCCUUUAAGACUGCAUCGCUAGAAUUGUGGAGAGGUAAGUGGAAUUCCGAGUGUAGAGGUGAAAUUCGUAGAUAUUCGGAAGAACACCAGUGGCGAAGGCGGCUUACUGGUCCGGUACUGACGCUGAGACGCGAAAGCGUGGGGAGCGAACAGG